AUGCACGCUGGCGGCGUGCUUAACACAUGCAAGUCGAACGAAGCACUUUAUUUGAUUUCCUUCGGGACUGAUUAUUUUGUGACUGAGUGGCGGACGGGUGAGUAACGCGUGGGUAACCUGCCUUGUACAGGGGGAUAACAGUUGGAAACGGCUGCUAAUACCGCAUAAGCGCACGGCAUCGCAUGAUGCAGUGUGAAAAACUCCGGUGGUAUAAGAUGGACCCGCGUUGGAUUAGCUAGUUGGUGAGGUAACGGCCCACCAAGGCGACGAUCCAUAGCCGACCUGAGAGGGUGACCGGCCACAUUGGGACUGAGACACGGCCCAAACUCCUACGGGAGGCAGCAGUGGGGAAUAUUGCACAAUGGGCGAAAGCCUGAUGCAGCGACGCCGCGUGAGCGAAGAAGUAUUUCGGUAUGUAAAGCUCUAUCAGCAGGGAAGAUAAUGACGGUACCUGACUAAGAAGCACCGGCUAAAUACGUG
rnacentral:rRNA from 1 species